UCCCGACAAAUUAGAGUGCAGUGUGCAGGACAGGAGGGCUGUCCACUAAAUUUCCCAAAUCCUCCGUAGGCCCGUUGCUCCUCAUAGCUGAGGUCCAACACUCAACGUGCUAGUUGAGCUCAUCUCUGAUGAGCUCAUCUCAUCUCUGCUGUCUUGUUGCAUUCUCCUGAGCUGAAGGGAUAGGCUAAGGAGUCCCAUCCCUUCCCACAAUCAUAAGGGUUCUAUCAGGAGGAGAGACGUAAAACCAAUCUUUUACUAUUGAUUUCACUCCUGGCUGUCAACCUGGAGGCCAAUUACCUAGCCUACACAAAAGAAAGCAACAUGGAGAAAUUUUUUCAACCUCCACCAUGCCCUCAAUAAUCCAAAUAAUCUGGCAUUUUACCUGUUCAUGAGAAAUCACUGGCAAAUUAAGAAAAAGAAACAAAAUGACAAUUUCAGAUAACAAACAGGGCAGCAUAAACUAUGGAGAAAUUAUUAAUAAAAUCUCAAGAAGUCAACUCAGCAUCUACUGAAUAAUGACCAUGGAAUGGUUUCCCUCUGGUUGCCUCUCCAGCCCUGGCCCGGGUGGCUCAGCCCGCCUGCCCUGUGUGGUUUGGGACCUUUAACUAUGGGGCAAGUCAUUAACCGGCUGGUGAAGCAGCAGCACAUUGUUCUGUUAUUUUCAAACCACAACAGCCUCUGUGGAAUCUAAGAGCCAUAAAGACAAGUUCUGAUGCUGCCUGACAGAGGCAUAAUUCAUGAAGUCUAUAAUUUAAAAGGAUUUCAAUGCAAUUGUAAAACUAAUAAAAAAUAAAUUGCUUUUGGGGAAUGCUGGUA